AUGAGGAUAGAUUGUAAAACAGAUUUGAAAAUUGAAAUACAAAGGAACUGAUUUUCUAAAAAAAAAAAUUAGUAUAUUCUAUCAAAUUUAACUUAGAAAAUCAAAAAAAUACUUUUAAAUUAAAAAUUUUAUUACAUAACUAAGUUAACAUAUAAAUUAAAAAAAACAAUCAUAAACUAAAAAUUUCAUUAUAUAACUAUAUUUUAUACAUAAUAAAUAUAUAUGUAAUAUUAUCAACUCACAAGUUUGCUUGGAGUACUUGGAUUUGUAUAUAUUGUACAGUACUUUUUGUUGGUCAAAAUUAUAGCCAAAAUGAUUAAUUUAUUGCGGCUAAAAUGGUAAUCUUUACAUAUUAUGCAAAUACAUGCCUAAAUUCAAAGCUACAAAUUUUGAUUGGAACAUAAUCACAAUCAUCAUCAUUAUAAUGCACCACAUUAAAAAACUCAUGCAUCAUCUAUUUAUUUUUACUUUCAUAAAAUUUUUUAAUCAAUUUUUUUUAUAAUAUUAUACAUUAUAAUUAUUUAAGAUAUUUAACAAAAUUUAAAGAAAUUUAAAAUAACUUAUAAUAUAAAAAAAUAAUAUUCAAAUAAUCUAUUUCACACACUUAUAAAAUAAAAGAAUCAAACAUGUAACAGAUUGUUAAAAUCUCAUUUUCAGAAUGUUAAAUUUUUUUUGAAUUUUUCAAAAUUUCAUAAAAUAUUUUAAAUAAUUACAAUGUACAUGACCAUGACAAAAAAAUUUGAGAUAAGUUAAUAAUUACCUCUUUUUUGUAUCCAUUAAUCAAAAAUACCUUCAAUUUAUAUUUUGUUAAAAUGUACCAACUUUUGUGAGUGAGUUGUCUAAUAUACCUUCACCCUCUACUUAAGUCUAGUACAUAAUUUACAUUAGCCUAAGGGGUAUAAUGGAGACAUCAUCUAUAAAAGUGAGUAUAUCUUAAAUAAUAUAGAAACGAAGGUAAAAAUUAGGUAUACAAAGUAAAGUAGGUAUACAAAGUAAUUUCCUCAAAAAAUUUCUUGGAUACUAAAACAAUAAAAAUGCAUCAGUGCACUUUUUUUAAGUAUCAAAGGAUAGAGUGUGUAAGGGCCCAAUGGAGGCUUGAAGCGGAGACGUUACAAAUGAUAUUAGAGUCUUGACCCAACCGGAAGUGUGGUCGACGAGGAUGUCGGAUCCUGUUAGGGGGGUGAUUGUGACAGUCAGUAGUCCCGUGAUCCGUAAGGGGAAAUACUAGGUAAAUUGUGCAAUCCCGCAUCACCUGGGGAAGGUCAAGUAUGAUGAUUCUAAAACUGUGUAGGUAAGGGACUACAUAGUUGAAGAUGGCUUAAAUGGAUUGAUUGGUACUACCUAUAUCACCAAGGUGCAUCUUGUUUUCGGUAGCCCAUCAUGAAAGAACUCUACUGUUAAGCGUGCUUAACCUGGAGUAAUUUCAGGAUGGGUGACCUCUUGGAAAGUUUUCUCAAGAAGCGUACGAGUGAGGACAAAACACACUAGAAAUACUCGUGUUGGUUUGUAGAGUCUGUCAUCAAUCUAUGAAGUACUCGUAUAUAAGAGUCAUUAUUACGUGGGUGUAAGGGCCCCAAUGAAAGCUUGAAGUGUGGACAUUACAUAUAUCUUUAUAUAUUAAAAGUGCCUAUCUAACGGCAUUUCUUGGUUUAACAGAAUAUACCCAAUAAAUCCAAAGAAUAUUCUGUUAAAUUUAACGAUGUUAAUAGGUUUGAUCACGUUAACAAAUAAACCCAAUAAUUAAACUCAAAAAAUUAAACAAUUUUUUUUUAAAUUAAAAAAAUCAUCUUAGUCACAUAUCUCUCUAACAAACUGUAUAUCCCCAAAUUAUCAAAUCCAAUUCUCUAGCUUUGGUUUACGAUCAACCAAACGCAGCUAUGGCUUUGCACUCCGUAAGUCUUUCUUCUUCUUCGUAGUCUUCGCAGCUAUUGAUUUUUCCAAUCGCAGGCCAGAGUUUUACAAUAAGUUCGCAUUUUAAUUCUUCUUCUUUCGCUCCUCCCCUUCGGAGAUCCCACGCUCAUCUUUGAGAAAGAAUUCUGAAAUACGAAUUCAGAGUUAUUGCAAAAUCAUUCAAGCCCUUCCCUACCGUGCGUCCUCAUUCAAGAAGAUCAAAAUCAUUGCGAUCCACAUUCAAUUGGCUGUGAGAAACGAUGAAGAGUUGAGCAAGCUUUUGAGAGUGAUGACAAUUACGAACGGAGGUGUUCAAUUUUCUGGGUAAGAACUAAAACCUCUCUCUCUCAUUGCGACAGUAAAUUACAGUAACAAUUCUUCUCUCUAUAUAUGUAUAAUUAUAUAUUAUGUAUUAAAUGAAAUGAAUCUUAUUAUAUAUUUAACAUUAUAUAUUUACCUAGGGGCUUUUUUUUAUUCGAGAAUAUGAGAUUGUUUUUUUUUUUGUAUUUCUAUUAUAUUCUUAAAUUUCACUAAUAUGUUUGUUCUCUUUUACUUUAGUUAUUUAAUUUCAUCGAAUACAAAUUUGAACUCUAGCAUUGUGUAAGAACAAAUUUUGACCAGAACUAGGUAUGCUAUUGUUUUUAUUUUGAUAUGGGUUACUUUGCAAUUUUUUGUAUUUAUUGAUUUUGGUGGUCUCCAUUUUUUUUUUCUUUUCUUAUUGUUGUUUUCAAAGGAAUUUUUAAUGGUUGGGUUUGAAAUUGUUGAAGGAGGCGAAGAAGUUGCUAUGGGAGGAUCGUCUAUUUCAUAAGAACAUGACGGUUUCGAAUGAGGCUAAUAUCGACUUGGCCACUUGAUUUAGAAAUCUGAGAAGGGUCUGCAGCCAAAAGAUUUGAGAUUGCUGCCAAGGUUGUGUAAGGAGGCACACCUCUGAAAGUAAUGAAAGCUUGACAUGUUCUGUUUAGACCAUUGCAGAAGUAGCCAAGAGAAGAGUUUGAGUUAUCCUUUUUGUCACAUUCGGUUGUGUCUUCUCUCACAUAUGGUUGUUGAGCAAAAAUUGAAGAGAAGCUACAACUAAUAAUGAUGAUGAUGAUGAAGAAGAAGAAAAUGAGCUUUGGAGAACUCAUUUAAUCUCAAACAAUAACUAAUAAUAAUUUUUCUUCAAUUAUUAUUAGCUAAUAAUGAUGAUGAUGAUGAUGAAGAAGAAGAAAAUGAGCUUUGGAGAACUCAUUUUGUCUUGGAAAAUCUAAAUAGUUAUUGUUCUAAAUAUGUAUAGAUAUAUUAUUAACAAAGUCAACAAAGAAAGUGAAACUACUUGUGUGAAUGUGAUAAAGGAAGCACUUUAACAUUGUUUUUGGGCAUUAUUUAGUAUACAUCUUUGCAUCGUUCAUUUCAUUUAAUCAGAGGUUGACUACUCAAUAUAAAUGUACCUCUAAAAAUAAUCUCAAACAAUAACUAAUAAUAAUUUUUCUUCAAUUAUUUAUUGUAUUACUUUUAAUGAAAUAGUUAACACCUAACAUAAAACUAAGUAUACGUGCUUCGCGCACGUAAUUUUUUUUCUAGUUAUAUACUAUAUGUAUAAACUUAAUAAACAUUAUAUAUGAUUUUUUUUAAAAAAGAAAGUAUAUAUAUAAUCUUAAGUGUUUAAUCGGUCGGUUUUGGUAUUUUCGGUUGGUGCGGCACUAAAAUUAAAUCGAUCGUUCAAGGAUGGUUUGCACUAUUAGUGGUUUUUUCGAUUUUUUGUUUUAAUGGUUUCAAUUUUAGCGGUGUUCGGUAGAUAGGUCUAAACGAUUUUUUCAGUUUUCUGAAUUUCUUGUUCAACUUUAUUUUUAAAUAUUGCUCAAAUUGAAAAUUUAAAAAAAAAAAAAAGUUGUAUAAAAAUGUAGGUUAUCGAAACUUUAACUAAUUGUGCCAAAAAUUAAUCAACAAAACUCUAAUAUCUUAUUCUCAAUGAUUGUUAUCG